AUACGUACCUUCCAGGGGAGGUAACCACGAUCACGCAGCCUCCCAGAUCGAGGCUCACUCAUUGAACUCUGGCUGUGCUGAGCCCAGAGAUUUCCCCAAAUGUGGGGAACUCAACUGCAGACUUAGAGAUAGUGGGGUGGCUGUGUCAAAGUGAGGACAAAAUCUCU
rnacentral:snRNA from 1 species